GACGGACGCUGGCGGCGUGCUUAACACAUGCAAGUCGAGCGGUAAGGCCCUUUCGGGGGUACACGAGCGGCGAACGGGUGAGUAACACGUGGGUGACCUGCCCUCAGCUCUGGGAUAAGCCUGGGAAACUGGGUCUAAUACUGGAUAUGACUCCACGGUGCAUGUCGUGGGGUGGAAAGCCUUGUGCGGCUGAGGAUGGGCCCGCGGCCUAUCAGCUUGUUGGUGGGGUGAGGCCUACCAAGGCGACGACGGGUAGCCGGCCUGAGAGGGCGACCGGCCACACUGGGACUGAGACACGGCCCAGACUCCUACGGGAGGCAGCGGGUGGGGAAUCUUGCGCAAUGGGCGAAAGCCUGACGCAGCGACGCCGCGUGAGGGAUGACGGCCUGG
rnacentral:rRNA from 1 species